AACGAACGCUGGCGGCAUGCCUAACACAUGCAAGUCGAGCGGGGGAGGUUGCUUCGGUAACUGACCUAGCGGCGGACGGGUGAGUAAUGCUUAGGAAUCUGCCUAUUAGUGGGGGACAACAUUCCGAAAGGGAUGCUAAUACCGCAUACGCCCUACGGGGGAAAGCAGGGGAUCUUCGGACCUUGCGCUAAUAGAUGAGCCUAAGUCGGAUUAGCUAGCUGGUGGGGUAAAGGCCUACCAAGGCGACGAUCUGUAGCGGGUCUGAGAGGAUGAUCCGCCACACUGGGACUGAGACACGGCCCAGACUCCUACGGGAGGCAGCAGUGGGGAAUAUUGGACAAUGGGCGGAAGCCUGAUCCAGCCAUGCCGCGUGUGUGAAGAAGGCCUUUUGGUUGUAAAGCACUUUAAGCGAGGAGGAGGCUCUUAAGGUUAAUACCCUUGAUGAGUGGACGUUACUCGCAGAAUAAGCACCGGCUAACUCUGUGCCAGCCGCCGCAGUAACAC
rnacentral:rRNA from 1 species